AAAUAUUUUAGAAUAAUUUCUUAAUAAAUGUAUUAAACAUGACAAAAAGCACAUUUUGUCACAUCUUAGGCACAUUUUCAUGAGGAAAUACAGAAAUAAUCUCUGGUGUACGAUGCCUUACAAACAAAUCCAAGAUACAAACUCAAACACAAAUUGAAGAAGAGACUUGCAGUAGCUGGUGCUGAAGUCUUGCUCUUUUCUCUUAAACUUCCCUUGAGAGGUCAGGCAUGGAUGAUCCUUGGGGCACUUUAUGUUAUAGCGUAUAUUUACACUUGAAAUUUUAUUUAAUUCCUCUUUGUUAUAAGAAUAAUUACUUAUAAAACCAUAUAAAUUAUUCUAAAAAGCUAGUCUGAAAAAUAUGUGACUGCUUAUUAAGGAACAGGUUAGACCAUGUAUGCUUAAGCUAUUGGUUUAUAUUCCAUAUGUUUUUGUGGUAUUUUUACAAAGGAAAGGUUUGAGAAAAAAAGGUAUUGGACCAUGUGAAAACCAGACUACAAAGACAAGGGAGUUAGAUCUGCAUUUUAGUGUAUUUAUCUGGAAAGCGAUCCUAGUAAUACUUAAUUUCUUCUGAUUUUAAAUGGUGAUGUGAAAAUAAAAUUAAAUAAAUGUAUAAGUGCUUCGAACACAGCAUGGUAAAAUUGGAAGUUAUUACUAGUAGCCAUAACCUAAUGAUCACAGUAAUAUUGAGUUAGCUUUUAUACAUUAAAUAAAAGCUAUAAUUCCAUGGGUGACAUUUCCUUUCUACCUCUCAUCAGACGAUGUCAAUGUUUUGAAGAGUUAGAGGAGCCCAAACCCUGAGGAUUCUUAAUGUAUGUUGGACACCAUUCACUGUGCCAAUAUUAGAGAAUGACAACCACUUGAAGACCGAUCUUCCCUUCCCACAGUACAUUCCUAAGGAGACCUGAAGUUUAUUUUCUGGAUCAGAAGGAAACCAGCUUAUUUCUGGAUUAGAGAGAAUCCAGAGUAAGGGACAAGUAUGGUAGACAAUGUGGUUGAUCCAUAGUGAAGGCAAGAGAUAGAAGUACUAACAGAAGUCUUCGUGCAUUCUCUGUUAAAGCCUACCGGUUGUCAGACUCAGCCAGUGGCUACAAAGGCUCCCAUAUAUAUUUGAGUGUAUCAUUCUAAAAUAUAAAGGAGGACCCAAGGAUUGCCAGAUGUUUAAGAAACAAUUCUGAUCAAAAGAAAGAAUAAAUAAGAUAAAAGGAAUUUAAAAAUUAAACAGAUACAUCAUAGAAAACAUAAAGAAGAAAAAAUCCAACUAUGAUUAAUAUCCUUAGAAAUAUGAGAAAAUAUAUUUCCUCCAUGAAGAGGCUACAAGAUGAUUUUGAAAAAAAAGUAUUAGCAAAGAAGAAAAGGAUCCUGGAAAAUACACUAACUCAAGUUAAAAAUGUCCAACAAAGAAAAAAAGUUGGAAAAUUUUCCAAGAAAAAGAAGGUGUACAAAUGUCAGACAAAUGCAUUUUGGUCAAAGGACACAAAAUUUUCAGUUAAACAGAAGAAUAAGUUCAAGAUCUACUGUACAACAUGGUGACUAUAGUUAAUAACAAUGUAUUGUAUGCUUGAGAAUUGCUAAGAGAGUAGAUUUUAAGUGUCUCACCACGAACAAAUGAUAAAGGAAUUAGUGCAUAUGUUAACUUGCUUGGUUUAACCAUUCCACAAUGUAUACAUAUUUCAAAACAUUAUGUACAUCAGUGCCUUUUGGCACCAAGGACUG
rnacentral:lncRNA from 10 species